AACGAACGCUGGCGGCAGGCUUAACACAUGCAAGUCGAGCGCCCCGCAAGGGGAGCGGCAGACGGGUGAGUAACACGUGGGAACCUUCCUCGUUGUACGGAACAACUCAGGGAAACUUGAGCUAAUACCGUAUACGUCCGAGAGGAGAAAGAUUUAUCGCAAUGAGACGGGCCCGCGUGGGAUUAGCUAGUUGGUGGGGUAACGGCCUACCAAGGCGACGAUCCGUAGCUGAUCUGAGGGGAUGAUCAGCCACACUGGGACUGAGACACGGCCCAGACUCCUACGGGAGGCAGCAGUGGGGAAUCUUGGACAAUGGGCGCAAGCCUGAUCCAGCCAUGCCGCGUGAGUGAAGAAGGCCUUCGGGUUGUAAAGCUCUUUUGUCAGGGACGAUAAUGACGGUACCUGAAGAAUAAGCCCCGGCGAACUUCGUGCCAGCAGCCGCAGUAA
rnacentral:rRNA from 1 species